AGAAAUGCUGGAAAACUUAUCACGUUCCAUCCACAAAGAGAUACAAGAGAUGAGAUAUUAGUAGCAGCAAUUAGAAAAGCCCCCUCAAGUUUGGUCCUUUGGGAGAUUGCAAACAAUAAUUCUCUUUCUUGGUGAACUUGAAGUGGUUCUAGAGGCAAUACAGACUGUUAAGUUUCAACGUUGUAUGGUCCCUCUGUUCCAACAGAUUGCUCGAUGCCUUAGUAGCUCCAAUUUUCAAAUCUUGAUGAGUUUAUAAUGAAGCGAGGAAGAAAGAGAUGGAAUCAAUUUGAUUCAGUUGCUUCGGGCUUUUUAUUUGGUGAAGAUUACAGUUUGUUUUGGAAGUGUUUUCUAAUGCUUGAAUGGUUUUGUGUUGGUUUACCUCUGAGAUUGAUGGUCUGAUUGUAGAGAUGUGAGAUUUGAGAUGCAAGUGUUGGUGAAAUGUGAUCGGAGCUGUGGGGUUCAUGAACCAGAGGCUGGAAAUUUUGAAGGACAUUGAUUGCAGUAUGACAAUCAGUAUGACACUUGUUUCUGGAUGUUAGUUACAAGUAGAAAGAGCAUAAGUGAAGCACGAGGUUUUAAAGGAUACACAAAAACAGCAGAAAAAUGAGCUUCUCUUUCAGAAUUUUGGUAUCAACUACAAAACGCUUCCUAAACAUUUCAACAUUUAAAUUUUUCUUUUUUUC